rnacentral:rRNA from 1 species
GAGUGAUCAGAAGUGAGAAUGUUGACAUGAGUAGCGGCAAACAGGGUGAGAGACCCUGUCGCCGAAAGUCCAAGGGUUCCUGCUUAAAGCUAAUCUGAGCAGGGUAAGCCGGCCCCUAAGGCGAGGCCGAAAGGCGUAGUCGAUGGGAACCAGGUUAAUAUUCCUGGGCCAGGAGAUGGUGACGGAUCCCAGAGGUAGUUCAUCCUUAUCGGAUUGAAUGGGCUGCUGAGGGGUUCCUGGAAAUAGCCCUCCAUGAGACCGUACCCUAAACCGACACAGGUGGACUGGUAGAGAAUACCAAGGCGCUUGAGAGAACCACAUUUAAGGAACUCGGCAAAAUACCUCCGUAAGUUCGCGAGAAGGAGGCCCCGUUUGUACGCAAGUAUGGGCGGGGGGCACAAACCAGGGGGUGGCGACUGUUUACUAAAAACACAGGGCUCUGCGAAGCCGUAAGGCGACGUAUAGGGUCUGACGCCUGCCCGGUGCCGGAAGGUUAAAAGGAGAUGUGCAAGCAUUGAAUUGAAGCCCCGGUAAACGGCGGCCGUAACGAUAACGGUCCUAAGGUAGCGAAAUUCCUUGUCGGGUAAGUUCCGACCUGCACGAAUGGCGUAACGACUUCUCCGCUGUCUCAAAUGUGGACUCAGCGAAAUUGAAUUGUCUGUGAAGAUGCAGACUUCCCGCGGUUAGACGGAAAGACCCCAUGCACCUUUACUAUAGCUUCGCACUGGCAUCAGGAUUGUGAUGUGCAGGAUAGGUGGUAGGCAUUGAAACCGGGACGCCAGUUCCGGUGGAGCCAUCCUUGAGAUACCACCCUUCGCACUCUUGAUGUCUAACCGCGGCCCGUUAUCCGGGUCCGGGACCCUGCGUGGUGGGUAGUUUGACUGGGGCGGUCGCCUCCCAAAGAGUAACGGAGGCGCGCGAAGGUUGGCUCAGAGCGGUCGGAAAUCGCUCGUUGAGUGCAAUGACAGAAGCCAGCCUGACUGCGAGACUGACAAGUCGAGCAGAGACGAAAGUCGGCCAUAGUGAUCCGGUGGUCCCGAGUGGAAGGGCCAUCGCUCAACGGAUAAAAGGUACGCUGGGGAUAACAGGCUGAUGAUGCCCAAGAGUCCAUAUCGACGGCAUCGUUUGGCACCUCGAUGUCGGCUCAUCUCAUCCUGGGGCUGGAGCAGGUCCCAAGGGUACGGCUGUUCGCCGUUUAAAGAGGUACGUGAGCUGGGUUUAGAACGUCGUGAGACAGUUCGGUCCCUAUCUGCCGUGGGUGUAGGAUACUUGAGAGGAGUUGCCCCUAGUACGAGAGGACCGGGGUGAACGUUCCACUGGUGGACCAGUUGUCGUGCCAACGGCAGUGCUGGGUAGCUAUGAACGGACAGGAUAAACGCUGAAGGCAUCUAAGCGUGAAGCCCCCCCAAAACAAGGUAUCCCUUGAGAGCCGUGGAAGACCACCACGUCGAUAGGCCGGAGAUGUAAGCGCAGCAAUGCGUUCAGUUGACCGGUACUAAUGGCUCU